CAAUAGCGUAUAUUAAAGUUGUUGCAGUUAAAAAGCUCGUAGUUGGAUUUCUGGGAGGGUGCUAAUGUCCGCCGUAGCGCGUGUGCAGCCGCGCCCUUCCAUCCUUCUGUUAACGCCUCUUGGCAUUUGUUUGCUGGUGGCGGGCUCAGAUAUUUUACCUUGAGAAAAUUAGAGUGUUUCAGGCAGGCUAGGCCGGAAUAUAUUAGCAUGGAAUAAUGGAAUAGGACUAUGGUCUCUUUGUUGGUUUGAGGGACUGCAGUAAUGAUUAAGAGGGACAGACGGGGGCGUCCGUACUCUGCCGUUAGAGGUGAAAUUCUUGGAUUUGUUAAAGACGGACUACUGCGAAAGCAUUUGCCAAGGAUGUUUUCAUUGAUCAAGAACGAAAGUUA
rnacentral:rRNA from 1 species